rnacentral:rRNA from 1 species
AUUGAGGCUAAUAUCCUUGAUACUUGACGGUACCCAUAAAGGAAGCACCGGCUAACUCCGUGCCAGCAGCCGCGGUAAUACGGGGGGUGCAAGCGUUGUUCGGAAUUAUUGGGCGUAAAGCGCGUGUAGGCGGUUUGAUUAGUCUGAUGUGAAAGCCCUGGGCUCAACCCAGGAAGUGCAUUGGAAACUGUCAGACUUGAAUACGGGAGAGGGUAGUGGAAUUCCUAGUGUAGGAGUGAAAUCCGUAGAUAUUAGGAGGAACACCGGUGGCGAAGGCGGCUACCUGGACCGAUAUUGACGCUGAGACGCGAAAGCGUGGGUAGCAAACAGGAUUAGAUACCCUGGUAGUCCACGCCGUAAACGAUGAGUUCUAGGUGUUGCGGGUAUUGACCCCUGCAGUGCCGCAGCUAACGCAUUAAGUACUCCGCCUGGGAAGUAUCGGUCGCAAGACUAAAACUCAAAGGAAUUGACGG